GGUUAAGCGACUAAGCGUACACGGUGGAUGCCCUGGCAGUCAGAGGCGAUGAAGGACGUGCUAAUCUGCGAUAAGCGUCGGUAAGGUGAUAUGAACCGUUAUAACCGGCGAUUUCCGAAUGGGGAAACCCAGUGUGUUUCGACACACUAUCAUUAACUGAAUCCAUAGGUUAAUGAGGCGAACCGGGGGAACUGAAACAUCUAAGUACCCCGAGGAAAAGAAAUCAACCGAGAUUCCCCCAGUAGCGGCGAGCGAACGGGGAGCAGCCCAGAGCCUGAAUCAGUGUGUGUGUUAGUGGAAGCGUCUGGAAAGGCGCGCGAUACAGGGUGACAGCCCCGUACACAAAAAUGCACAUGCUGUGAGCUCGAUGAGUAGGGCGGGACACGUGGUAUCCUGUCUGAAUAUGGGGGGACCAUCCUCCAAGGCUAAAUACUCCUGACUGACCGAUAGUGAACCAGUACCGUGAGGGAAAGGCGAAAAGAACCCCGGCGAGGGGAGUGAAAAAGAACCUGAAACCGUGUACGUACAAGCAGUGGGAGCACGCUUCGGCGUGUGACUGCGUACCUUUUGUAUAAUGGGUCAGCGACUUAUAUUCUGUAGCAAGGUUAACCGAAUAGGGGAGCCGAAGGGAAACCGAGUCUUAACUGGGCGUUAAGUUGCAGGGUAUAGACCCGAAACCCGGUGAUCUAGCCAUGGGCAGGUUGAAGGUUGGGUAACACUAACUGGAGGACCGAACCGACUAAUGUUGAAAAAUUAGCGGAUGACUUGUGGCUGGGGGUGAAAGGCCAAUCAAACCGGGAGAUAGCUGGUUCUCCCCGAAAGCUAUUUAGGUAGCGCCUCGUGAAUUCAUCUCCGGGGGUAGAGCACUGUUUCGGCAAGGGGGUCAUCCCGACUUACCAACCCGAUGCAAACUGCGAAUACCGGAGAAUGUUAUCACGGGAGACACACGGCGGGUGCUAACGUCCGUCGUGAAGAGGGAAACAACCCAGACCGCCAGCUAAGGUCCCAAAGUCAUGGUUAAGUGGGAAACGAUGUGGGAAGGCCCAGACAGCCAGGAUGUUGGCUUAGAAGCAGCCAUCAUUUAAAGAAAGCGUAAUAGCUCACUGGUCGAGUCGGCCUGCGCGGAAGAUGUAACGGGGCUAAACCAUGCACCGAAGCUGCGGCAGCGACGCUUAUGCGUUGUUGGGUAGGGGAGCGUUCUGUAAGCCUGUGAAGGUGUGCUGUGAGGCAUGCUGGAGGUAUCAGAAGUGCGAAUGCUGACAUAAGUAACGAUAAAGCGGGUGAAAAGCCCGCUCGCCGGAAGACCAAGGGUUCCUGUCCAACGUUAAUCGGGGCAGGGUGAGUCGACCCCUAAGGCGAGGCCGAAAGGCGUAGUCGAUGGGAAACAGGUUAAUAUUCCUGUACUUGGUGUUACUGCGAAGGGGGGACGGAGAAGGCUAUGUUGGCCGGGCGACGGUUGUCCCGGUUUAAGCGUGUAGGCUGGUUUUCCAGGCAAAUCCGGAAAAUCAAGGCUGAGGCGUGAUGACGAGGCACUACGGUGCUGAAGCAACAAAUGCCCUGCUUCCAGGAAAAGCCUCUAAGCAUCAGGUAACAUCAAAUCGUACCCCAAACCGACACAGGUGGUCAGGUAGAGAAUACCAAGGCGCUUGAGAGAACUCGGGUGAAGGAACUAGGCAAAAUGGUGCCGUAACUUCGGGAGAAGGCACGCUGAUAUGUAGGUGAGGUCCCUCGCGGAUGGAGCUGAAAUCAGUCGAAGAUACCAGCUGGCUGCAACUGUUUAUUAAAAACACAGCACUGUGCAAACACGAAAGUGGACGUAUACGGUGUGACGCCUGCCCGGUGC
rnacentral:rRNA from 1 species